rnacentral:rRNA from 1 species
UACAGAGGUCUCAAGCGUUGUUCGGAUUCAUUGGGCGUAAAGGGUGCGUAGGUGGCGCGAUAAGUCGGGUGUGAAAUCUCGGAGCUUAACUCCGAAAUUGCAUUCGAUACUGCCGUGCUCGAGGACUGGAGAGGAGACUGGAAUUCAUGGUGUAGCAGUGAAAUGCGUAGAGAUCAUGAGGAAGACCAGUGGCGAAGGCGGGUCUCUGGGCCGAUACUGACGCUGAGGAGCGAAAGCGUGGGGAGCGAACAGG